GAGGAGGAAUCCAGGACUCCCAUUGGUAGUGCAGAGGUCAGCUGACUGAGACUGACAUGGCAGUGCCCAGCACCAGUGAGAGAUGCAGUGACAGGAUGCCAGAGAACAGUACAGCUGUGGCUGAAGAGACGACACCUGGACACACCAGAAAGCUGCCGCAGAGCUGGAAUUUGGAGCACUACAAGAGGCAGAAAAGAGGCAGGUUUUGGGUGUAUUUCCUGGCUGGCAGAUCGGUACGGGGGCAUCCGGCUAUAUGUGCACUGGCGUAUCUGAUGGUGAGGGGUUUGUUUACACUGGCCGCUACGCUUCCCUGUAACCUGGCAACCUGACGUCAGGAGACCCGGGACGGGCGCAUUACGGUGACGUCAGACGAGACCAGCGCGGGACGCGGCGGCAUGAACUGUACACUUGGGUGAAGCUUUAAAAGGUGAGCACAUUUGUUUUUAUUGAUGUCCUGACGAAAAUUUAUUUACUAAAUUGAAACGUUGACUGAUUAGACUACAUGGUCUGAGUAUUUCUUCUUAAAGAAUUCCUGCGAGUGCCGCCUGUUCCAGCUGUAUGUAUGUAUAUA